rnacentral:rRNA from 1 species
UAGUCUGGUGCCAGCAGCCGCGGUAAUUCCAGCUCCAAUAGCGUAUAUUAAAGUUGUUGCAGUUAAAACGCUCGUAGUCGGAUUUCGGGGCGGGCCGACCGGUCUGCCGAUGGGUAUGCACUGGUCGGCGCGUCCUUCCACCCGGAGACCGCGCCUACUCUUAACUGAGCGGGCGCGGGAGACGGGUCUUUUACUUUGAAAAAAUCAGAGUGUUUCAAGCAGGCAGUCGCUCUUGCAUGGAUUAGCAUGGGAUAAUGAAAUAGGACUCUGGUGCUAUUUUGUUGGUUUCGAACACCGGAGUAAUGAUUAACAGGGACAGUCAGGGGCACUCGUAUUCCGCCGAGAGAGGUGAAAUUCUCAGACCAGCGGAAGACGAACCACUGCGAAAGCAUUUGCCAGGGAUGUCUUCACUGAUCAAGAACGAAAGUUAGGGGAUCGAAGACGAUCAGAUACCGUCGUAGUCUUAACCAUAAACCAUGCCGACUAGGGAUUGGAGGAUGUUCCAUUGUGACUCCUUCAGCACCUUUCGGGAAACUAAAGUCUUUGGGUUCCGGGGGGAGUAUGGUCGCAAGGCUGAAACUUAAAGGAAUUGACGGAAGGGCACCACCAGGAGUGGAGCCUGCGGCUUAAUUUGACUCAACACGGGGAAACUUACCAGGUCCAGACAUUGUGAGGAUUGACAGAUUGAGAGCUCUUUCUUGAUUCGAUGGGUGGUGGUGCAUGGCCGUUCUU